rnacentral:rRNA from 1 species
GACGAACGCUGGCGGCGUGCUUAACACAUGCAUUUCGAACGGAAAGGCCCUGCUUUUGUGGGGUGCUCGAGUGGCGAACGGGUGAGUAACACGUGAGUAACCUGCCCUUGACUUUGGGAUAACUUCAGGAAACUGGGGCUAAUACCGGAUAGGAGCUCCUGCUGCAUGGUGGGGGUUGGAAAGUUUCGGCGGUUGGGGAUGGACUCGCGGCUUAUCAGCUUGUUGGUGGGGUAGUGGCUUACCAAGGCUUUGACGGGUAGCCGGCCUGAGAGGGUGACCGGCCACGUUGGGACUGAGAUACGGCCCAGACUCCUACGGGAGGCAGCAGUGGGGAAUAUUGCACAAUGGGCGGAAGCCUGAUGCAGCAACGCCGCGUGCGGGAUGACGGCCUUCGGGUUGUAAACCGCUUUCGCCUGUGACGAAGCGUGAGUGACGGUAAUGGGUAAAGAAGCACCGGCUAACUACGUGCCAGCAGCCGCGGUGAUACGUAGGGUGCGAGCGUUGUCCGGAUUUAUUGGGCGUAAAGGGCUCGUAGGUGGUUGAUCGCGUCGGAAGUGUAAUCUUGGGGCUUAACCCUGAGCGUGCUUUCGAUACGGGUUGACUUGAGGAAGGUAGGGGAGAAUGGAAUUCCUGGUGGAGCGGUGGAAUGCGCAGAUAUCAGGAGGAACACCAGUGGCGAAGGCGGUUCUCUGGGCCUUUCCUGACGCUGAGGAGCGAAAGCGUGGGGAGCGAACAGGCUUAGAUACCCUGGUAGUCCACGCUGUAAACGGUGGGUACUAGGUGUGGGGUCCAUUCCACGGGUUCCGUGCCGUAGCUAACGCUUUAAGUACCCCGCCUGGGGAGUACGGCCGCAAGGCUAAAACUCAAAGGAAUUGACGGGGCCCCGCACAAGCGGCGGAGCAUGCGGAUUAAUUCGGUGCAACGCGUAGAACCUUACCUGGGUUUGACAUGGAUCGGGAGUGCUCAGAGAUGGGUGUGCCUCUUUUGGGGUCGGUUCACAGGUGGUGCAUGCCUGUCGUCAGCUCGUGUCGUGAGAUGUUGGGUUAAGUCCCGCAACGAGCGCAACCCUUGUUCACUGUUGCCAGCACGUUAUGGUGGGGACUCAGUGGAGACCGCCGGGGUCAACUCGGAGGAAGGUGGGGAUGACGUCAAGUCCUCAUGCCCCUUAUGUCCAGGGCUUCACGCAUGCUACAAUGGCUGGUACAGAGAGUGGCGAGCCUGUGAGGGUGAGCGAAUCUCGGAAAGCCGGUCUCAGUUCGGAUUGGGGUCUGCAACUCGACCUCAUGAAGUCGGAGUCGCUAGUAAUCGCAGAUCAGCAACGCUGCGGUGAAUAAAUUCCCGGGGCU